GGGCGGUUAGCUCAGUUGGUAGAGCAUUGCUUUCACACGGCAAGGGUCACAGGUUCAAGUCCUGUACCGCCCA
rnacentral:tRNA from 1 species